CCCAUUGCAUUGAUUCGUAGAGAAAGAAGGAAAAUGUCAAAAGAAGAGAAAAGGAAAGGAAAACGCAUCCCAUUCCCAUCCCCCACCCAUCUCUCUCCCCUCGCCGCCGCCGUCGUCGCGAUUCCGGCGAGUUUCGGCGGCACGCAGCAGCGCACCGCCGACACCACCUCGCUCCGGCCCUUCCUCCUCCCCGUGGCUAGGGUCGCGGGCAUGUCCCUGGCUCGAGCUGCUCAGAUCCACGCCGCCGUCCUCCUCCACAACCACGCAGCGGCGGCGGAGGACGCGAAGGAGCCAUGCCAUGGACCCCAAACCCUUGCUCGCGGCCAUGGAUCUGCAGGCAGGAGGAGUCUUCUCCCUCCAUGGACAUGGAGGUCCGCCGUGGAAGAAGGCCUGGAGCUCGUCAUGGACGAGAAAACGGCAGAAAUCUGAAACCUUUUAUUCAGAAACUCUUCUUCAGAGAAAAUAUGCCCAUCCAUAUUUGCAGACUUGCUCCAACUCUUCUUCAGAGACGAGAAAACUGCAGAAAUCUGGAACCUUUUACUAGUUCCUUCUUUAUUCAGAUAACUGCAGCAGAUUUAUCUUAAGGUUGAUGAUAGUAACCACACAUACUAACUUGAUAAUCUUGAUCUCCUCAGGAGCAAGACCACCGCUGCUCGACGCCAUGGAGAUCGAUCGUCAAGGACCAUUACCAGGACUCCAACUCCUCCAUGGAAGGGCCACCAACAGCUCCGGUCUUCUCCAUGGACUCCAACUCCUCGGAUGCACUCCCUGAUGCAUCAUGCGCGCAUGCCUACAAGGAGGCUCUGCUUCUUCCUGGGUCGCCAUGGGAUGGAAGGCAUGCUCUGCUUUUCAAUGCCCAUCUACCCGUGUUUGCUUGUUGCUGCAACUUGUAUUCGGACCGAGCUAGACAAAACUGCAAAAAUCUCAUACUUUUACUUCCUUCUUUAUUCAUAAAACUGGAAACUCUGCAGCAGAUUAUUCUUCAGGUUGAUACUAACUUGGCAAUGUUGCUGUUCCGAGACCCCGCUGCCGCUGCCGCUGCGGACGCCAUGUAGACCGUCAAGGCGCAGACUGUUGUGUGCCGCCUCUUCCAUGGGCGUCCACGCCAUGGAGCUCCUUAAGACACCCUCAAUGAUGACCAAGGUGGAGUGCAGGACAUCGAGGACAUGAUAUGAACCGCCGUUCCAGACGCCCGCCUCGGGGAAGGAGCACUCCAUCCCGCUGAUAACAAUGUUUUGAAAGAGGAGAUGACGGAUUUGGUGGAGGAGAGGAACUCCCUCAAGGACGAAAAGAGGAGCCCUGUGUACAGAAAACUUGUGAUGCUGCUUUGUCAAGUGCUUGUGUGGUGGUUUCGAUUUGACCUAGAAGACCGCCGCUUCGCUCCUCCGGGUCUGCUUAUUCCCGGGUCGCCGCUGCUCCCACGAUGGAGCAAACGCUUGUCUUGUUUUUCUGUAGCAUUCACCAUGCAUGUCUCGUGUGAUCCUUGUGCAGGC